rnacentral:rRNA from 1 species
AACGAACGCUGGCGGCAGGCUUAACACAUGCAAGUCGAGCGCCCCGCAAGGGGAGCGGCAGACGGGUGAGUAACGCGUGGGAAUCUACCUAUCUCUACGGAACAACUCCGGGAAACUGGAGCUAAUACCGUAUACGUCCUUCGGGAGAAAGAUUUAUCGGAGAUGGAUGAGCCCGCGUUGGAUUAGCUAGUUGGUGGGGUAAUGGCCUACCAAGGCGACGAUCCAUAGCUGGUCUGAGAGGAUGAUCAGCCACACUGGGACUGAGACACGGCCCAGACUCCUACGGGAGGCAGCAGUGGGGAAUAUUGGACAAUGGGCGAAAGCCUGAUCCAGCCAUGCCGCGUGAGUGAUGAAGGCCCUAGGGUUGUAAAGCUCUUUCGCAGGUGAAGAUAAUGACGGUAACCUGAGAAGAAGCCCCGGCUAACUUCGUGCCAGCAGCCGCGGUAA